rnacentral:lncRNA from 1 species
GUCAUUGAACAGGGAACACACCUCAGACUUCCGCAAGGCCCGCUCAAAACUCGGUGAAAAAAUUCGUGAUAAAUGAGAAAAUCCGGAAUAAUUUACAAAGAUAAAAUGGUGUCCGAUUGAUAGGAAGUUACUGUGGAACCGGAAAGCUUGAAGAGAAUCUUCAAAUUUCAUGAUUACUUAAUUAAUGAGCCAAUUUGUUUUAUCAAACCAGGAUAACAAAGUUAAUCGUGAUGCAAUGCUCAUUUGGGAAAAGUACUUUUAAAAGAAAGUGAACAAAAAUGAUAGCCCGAGCAUUUAUCUUGACUUCCGGAAUGAUUUAUUAAGAGGAAGAGACGAAAAAGAAUGAUCCGAAAGAAAAACAACAUUUCAAAUCAACCUUUGAAGCAUAAUACACACACGUGUAAAAAAUGCUCCAAUUGACGUUCAACGAACCAAAUUUUUCUAAACAUCUCUCUACCAAACUUAGUGUCUGAUAAGAUUCAUAUUGGUGAAGAAUCAAGGCAUUACUAAACUUCGCAAUUUAGUAAAUAAAACCUAUCAUAAUGAAAUAACCUCUUUGAAUUGUAGGUUAAUCAGGAUUAUACACCGGUUCCGUUUACAUAAAAAUAUCAAUUUUGAAUUCGGCCAAAAGUGCGAGGUAUAGGGUAAGUCUGUGUAAAAUCAAGCAUAAUUUUGGAAAUUUGACCAAAAAAGUGAAAUCAAAUAAUUAUAUAUUCGUUUGACAACAUCAAGAGCACCUCUGCGGGGAGUGAUUUAAGUCCUGAAAUAAUGACACUCAUCGAGCUAAUAUUCAACUAAAAGUCAUCCGAUCGCAACCAACAAAUCAGUGCAACAAAUGGGCACGGUCAACCAUUGAAACUCGAAGUGCGGAAAAUCCAAAAUCUGCGCGGUAAAUUCAAAUCGUGGGCGGGAAACUCAAAUCGAUCACCAUGAAAACGCACGCGAUCAGCGGCGAGCGACGAAGCUUCUUCCGGCGAAACCUGGCGGAUGUCGUGGUCCCCACGAUUCUGGACCCGAAGAAAUCCCUGGACGCCAUUAACAUCCCGAAGGACAUCGAGUUCGUGAAAAAGACCUGUCGGAAGGACAACCUGGUGUGCAGGGUUUUCGCGCGGCUGUGCGGGUUGCAGACGGACCCCCGGUGUGACGUCUCCUUCGACGGGAGUGCCGAAGAGCAGGCGUCCGUGUUUAUCUCCAGAAAAUUGGAGGGCGAUCCGGGGGUGACCGCCUCCGAUGCGGCCAGUGGGGAGACGGCAUCUUCGACCGGCUCCGCCCCAUCCCAAAAUGUCGAAACUCACCAAAGAACGAAGCUAGGGACUUGCAACACCUCGCUCACCUUCUCGAGACAACCGGUGCCCUACCAUCUUCAUCGAUGC